rnacentral:miRNA from 1 species
CGCCUCAUUGAUCGGAAAGAAUUCCUUCCGAUUGAUGAGGUGGAACAGCCUCAUUGACCAGAAGGAAUCCCUUCCGGCCAAUGAGGCC